UAGGCAAAUCCGUCGCACACAUGGCUGAGACCUGAUGCCGAGCCGAUUGUGGUGAAGUGGAUGAUCCUAUGCUGUCGAGAAAAGCCUCUAGCGAGUUUCAUGGCGGCCCGUACCCUAAACCGACUCAGGUGGUCAGGUAGAGAAUACCGAGGCGUUCGGGUGAACUAUGGUUAAGGAACUCGGCAAAAUGCCCCCGUAACUUCGGGAGAAGGGGGGCCAUCACUGGUGAGAGGACUUGCUCCUUGAGCUGGGGGUGGCCGCAGAGACCAGCGAGAAGCGACUGUUUACUAAAAACACAGGUCCGUGCGAAGCCGUAAGGCGAUGUAUACGGACUGACGCCUGCCCGGUGCUGGAACGUUAAGGGGACCGGUUAGUCACAUUUCGGUGUGGCGAAGCUGAGAACUUAAGCGCCAGUAAACGGCGGUGGUAACUAUAACCAUCCUAAGGUAGCGAAAUUCCUUGUCGGGUAAGUUCCGACCUGCACGAAUGGCGUAACGACUUCUCGACUGUCUCAACCAUAGGCCCGGUGAAAUUGCACUACGAGUAAAGAUGCUCGUUUCGCGCAGCAGGACGGAAAGACCCCGGGACCUUUACUACAGUUUGAUAUUGGUGUUCGGUUCGGCUUGUGUAGGAUAGCUGGGAGACUGUGAACUCUGGACGCCAGUUCAGGGGGAGUCGUCGUUGAAAUACCAGUCUGGUCGUGCUGGAUGUCUAACCUGGGUCCGUGAUCCGGAUCAGGGACAGUGUCUGAUGGGUAGUUUAACUGGGGCGGUUGCCUCCUAAAGAGUAACGGAGGCGCCCAAAGGUUCCCUCAGCCUGGUUGGCAAUCAGGUGUUGAGUGUAAGUGCACAAGGGAGCUUGACUGUGAGACCGACGGGUCGAGCAGGGACGAAAGUCGGGACUAGUGAUCCGGCGGUGGCUUGUGGAAGCGCCGUCGCUCAACGGAUAAAAGGUACCCCGGGGAUAACAGGCUGAUCUUCCCCAAGAGUCCAUAUCGACGGGAUGGUUUGGCACCUCGAUGUCGGCUCGUCGCAUCCUGGGGCUGGAGUCGGUCCCAAGGGUUGGGCUGUUCGCCCAUUAAAGCGGUACGCGAGCUGGGUUUAGAACGUCGUGAGACAGUUCGGUCCCUAUCCGCUGCGCGCGUAGGAAUAUUGAGAAGGGCUGUCCCUAGUACGAGAGGACCGGGACGGACGAACCUCUGGUGUGCCAGUUGUUCUGCCAAGGGCAUGGCUGGUUGGCUACGUUCGGGAGGGAUAACCGCUGAAAGCAUCUAAGCGGGAAGCCUGCUUCGAGAUGAGUAUUCCCACCCCCUUUGAGGGGUUAAGGCUCCCAGUAGACGACUGGGUUGAUAGGCCGGAUCUGGAAGGCGGGUAACCGCUGGAGGUGACCGGUACUAAUAGGCCGAGGGCUUGUCCA
rnacentral:rRNA from 1 species